rnacentral:rRNA from 1 species
UUUAAAUGUAAAUAUUUAACCCGGGUAGUAAUAGUUAUGUUCUUGAAACCCAAAGAAUUUGGCGGUAUUUUAUUCUUUUUAGAGGAACCUGUCCUGUAAUUGAUAAUCCACGAUAGAUAAUUACUUAUUCUUGUAUUCAUUUUGUAUACCUCCGUCAUCAGAGUAUCUUUUUAGAGAUAAUAUUCAAAUAAUACAAAAUAUAACAUGUCAGGUCAAGGUGCAAUUUAUGAAUAAGUAGAGAUGGGUUACAAUAAAUUUAUUUAUACGGAAUUAAAUUCUUAUGAAUUUAAUGAAGGUGGAUUUAAAAGUAAAAUUAAUUCUUUAUCAAUUUGAUUUUAGCUCUAAAAUAUGC